rnacentral:lncRNA from 1 species
GCUACCCAAGGGCAUAUGAACAACCAGGGAAUUACUUUGGGGGAUACCAGCAAGGAGCUAGGAAGUUGAGGAGCGAAGAUGGGAGAUAUCAGAAGUGUUCAGCAAAGAAGGAUUUGGAGAUCCUGGAAAUUGGAAAAAACAAAACAAUCUGUCUAGGACGGCAGAGAGAGCUGGUCUCAUCCAGGUGAGUGUCCCGAAUCCUGCUUCCCAGCUUGGCAUCCUGUGUUAUACUCUUUCCCCAGAGGAGAAAUGGGUCAGGUUCUUGGGUUUCACAAACCCAUUAAAGGCAUGCUGUGACAGCUGGCAAGCUGG